GCUGGCGGCAUGCCUCAUACAUGCAAGUCGAACGAGGUCUUCGGACCUAGUGGCGCACGGGUGAGUAACAUGUGGGAAUCUACCUGAAGGUUCGGAAUAACUGCGGGAAACUGUAGCUAAUACCGGAUGUGUCUGCAAAGAGAAAGAUUUAUCGCCUUCAGAUGAGCCCGCACUAGAUUAGCUAGUUGGUGAGGUAACUGCUCCACCAAGGCUACGAUCUAUAGCUGAUUUGAGAGGAUGAUCAGCCACACUGGGACUGAGACACGGCCCAGACUCCUACGGGAGGCAGCAGUAGGGAAUAUUGGACAAUGGGGGAAACCCUGAUCCAGCAAUGCCGCGUGAGUGAAGAAGGCCUUAGGGUUGUAAAACUCUUUCAUCAAUGAUGAUAAUGACAUUAAUUGAAGAAGAAGCUCCGGCUAACUUCGUGCCAGCAGCCGCGGUAAUACGAAGGGGGCUAGCGUUGUUCGGAAUCACUGGGCGUAAAGCGUAUGUAGGCGGAUCAAAAAGUUAGAUGUGAAAUCCCUGGGCUCAACCCAGGAACUGCAUUUAAAACUAGUGAUCUAGAAUUUGGUAAGGGUUAGUAGAAUUUCCAGUGUAGAGGUGAAAUUCGUAGAUAUUGGAAAGAAUACCAGAAGCGAAGGCGACUAACUAGGCCAUUUUUGACGCUGAGAUACGAAAGCGUGGGUAGCAAACAGGAUUAGAUACCCUGGUAGUCCACGCAGUAAACGAUGAGUGCUAGUCGCUGGUGCAAUAGUAUCAGUGUCGUAGCUAACGCAUUAAGCACUCCGCCUGGGAAG
rnacentral:rRNA from 1 species